CAGCAGUCUUAAAAAUAACCCCACUUUUCCAGACAGUGAUUUCCGGAAAGUCUAGUGAUGUCUGGAACCCAGAAUUUCAUUCUUGAAUAUUCUCCUGGUCUUAAGACUAAGGAUUCUUACUAAUGUGGUGCAAUAAGAAGAAAGAUCAGAUUGAAUUCUGACUCAGAUAUACUUUUCCACUGUGCUCAAAAAUAAGGAAAUGUGAAUAAGAAUGAAUUUGAAAAAGAAAAUGAUUGAUAAUUUUUGAAUUAGCAAAUGUGUGUGAGUUCCUGCUGCUCCAAGUGCCCAAGCCUGUGAAUCCAGAGCUCAGUACAGGGCCCAUCACUGGACUGGUGGACAAGCUCCGUGGAUUCAGAGGAGUGAGUCAGAGCAGCAGCACGUGCCCCAGUGUGUCAGCUCAGAGCUCAGUAUGCAACCCAUCACUGGACUGAUGGACAGAUUCCACCACUUACAAGGGUGAGUGUCAACCUGCUGAAGUGAUGACCACACAGUGCCCUUCAGGAAUGGUCUUCCUUUUUUAUUUUUUAUUUUUUUUUGAGACCGAGUCUCACUCAGUUGCACAGGCUGGAGUGCAAUGGGGCGAUCUCAUUUCACUGCAACCUCUCAGGUUCAAGUGAUUCUCCUGUCUCAGCCUUCUGAGUAGCUGGAAUUACAGGCACCCACCAUUCAUGCCCAGCUAUUUUUUUUUAAUAUUUUUGUAGAGACAGGGUUUCACCAUGAUGGCUGGUCUUGAACUCCUGACCUCAGGUGAUCCACCCACCUUGGCCUCCCAAAGUGCUGGGAUUACAGGCGUGAACCACCUUGCUCAUCCUUAGGCAUGGUUUUCUACAGGCAGUAUUUUGUUCUUUAUUAAUCUUUCAUCUUAUAAAAGGGAACAUUCUAUAAAUAGCAUUUAUAGCAUACUUAGUGAUACAGUCCCUAUGAUCGUAUGGAAAAAAUAAAUGAAAGCUGGUGUAAUGGUAAAUGUGAUUCAGCCCUGCCAUAAAUUUCUUACAUAAUGAGAAGAAAACUAAAAAAGGGUUCCUUGAGCCCUUGAAACAUUACAACACACAAUGUAAGUUGUGCACUGAGUUAUACUAGUGGGUCUUAAAUCAAGAUAUUCCAAUUUCAAGAACAUUAAUUAUAAUACUAGGGGUUAAUAAUAAUUUUUUAAAUAGCUUAUUUUAGUGUUCCUCAGUAAUUGCAUUUUAAUAUAUAUUAUACUUGACAUAAUCAGAAAAAUUACAUGAAUAAUCAUAAGAAACUAUGCCCCUGUCCCAAGUAUUCCUCCUCUUUCUCUCAUGAAGGCAACAGUCAUUGGAUUUAGAACCCACUGUAAAUGUAAAAACAUUUCAUCCCUGGAUUCUAAAUCAAUUACAUUUACAGAGAACCAAUUUCCAAAUAAGCUCACAUUCACAAGUACCAGAUGUUGGUACUUGCACAUAAAUUAUUGGGGUCACACUUCAAUUUAUUACAUCACCCGGCAAAUAAAAUAAGGUUGUCUUAAAAUGCAGAGGAUUCAGGUUUUUGUUGAAAAAUAAUACAAAGUUAUAUUCUGUUUGAUAUGUAGAUUAUAUGCAGUGGCACAAAAUAUUACUAAAGUAAUGUUUCCUAUUUGCCUACUGUUGUCUGAUAAAGUCCUUGAGAUAUUUCUUCAGAUCUACAAUUACUGAGAGAGAGGGGAAAAAUUUUUAAAAUUUAUUGCAUAUUUAUAAAACAUCCUCCAAUAACCUCAUACAGUCACAUCAGCAGUAUAAAAGGGUGCACAUUACAUUCUAUCAGCAGUAUUGGACAUCAUCAUUUCUUAACAUUUGCCAAUUAAAUAAUUUAAUAAUAGUUCACUUAAUUACUUUAUAGAGAAAAUGAGUAUCUCUUUAUUAUUAUUAUUUUUUAAUUUUUUAUUAGAUUUUAGGUUUUGGGGUACAUGAGCAGAGCAUGCAAGACAGUUGCAUAGGUACGCACAUGGCAGUGUGCUUUGCUUUGUUUCUCCCCUUCACCUACAUUUGGCAUUUCUCCCCAGGCUAUCCCUCCCCACCUCCCCCUCCCACUGGCCCUCCCCUUUUCCCCCCAAUAGACCCCAGUGUUUAGUACUCCCCUUUCUGUGUCCAUGUGUUCUCAUUUUUCAUCACCCACCUAUGAGUGAGAAUAUGCGGUGUUUCAUUUUCUGUUCUUGUGUCAGUUUGCUGAGGAUGACGUUCUCCAGAUUCAUCCAUGUCCCUACAAACGACACAAACUCAUCAUUUCUGAUUGCUGCAUAAUAUUCCAUGGUGUAUAUGUGCCACAUUUUUCCAAUCCAGUCUAUUAUCAAUGGGCAUUUUGGUUGAUUCCAGGUCUUUGCUAUUGUAAACAGUGCUGCAAUGAACAUUCGUGUCCAUGUGUCCUUAUAGUAGAACGAUUUAUAGUCUUUUGGAUAUAUACCCAGUAAUGGGAUUGCUGGGUCAAAUGGAAUUUCUAUUUCUAAGGCCUUGAGGAAUCGCCACACUGUCUUCCACAAUGGUUGAACUAAUUUACACUCCCACCAACAGUGUAAAAGUGCUCCUUUUUCUCCACAUCCUCUCCAGCAUCUGUUGUCUCCAGAUUUUUUAAUGAUCGCCAUUCUAACUGGCGUGAGAUGGUAUUUCAAUGUGGUUUUGAUUUGCAUCUCUCUGAUGACCAGUGACAGCUUCUGCACGGCAAAAGAAACAGUCACUAGAGUGGAUCGGCAACCAACAAAAUGAGUAUCUCUUUAUUAAUGCAAUGGAAGUUCUUAAUUUUCACUUAGAAAUAUGUUCCAAGUUAAAUAAUCAGAACGUAAACAAAGAUAUACAAAAUUUAUUGACUUUAUCAAAUAAUCUUUCAGAUUUUUAAAUAACAUAAAACUAAUUAUAACUAUAGACAUUUAAAUUAUUUAUAUAAGUUAUAUAAAAGGUAUGUAUCUGGGUAUAUAUUCUUGUAAAAAUAAACAUUUCUUUUUAAAUAGAAGUUCAUUCUCAUUUACAAAAGACCAUAAGAUAUGAAAAGAAAGGUUAUUUUUUUUCAAAAGAAUAUCAGUAAAUUAUUACUAUUCCAAGAAAUUUAGUCCUAACAUUUUUCUGUACGUGUUUUCCUUGAUAUACAUCUUUGUCCAUAGGAUUUUUUCUUUAAUUUCCAAAAUAAGUCACAUGUUUUACUGUACUUUAAGAAUAAAAAUUUAUUUAAACAUCUUAUUAAUUUAGGUUUACUAAUAUCCUGUUAUUUGAUAUAUUCAGUAAAUUAGUAGUUGGUAACUUUAGAUAUAAAAUUUCUAAAUGGUAGAAACCUGUUUUAUAAAUAUGAAACCUGAUAUUGUCAAACCCUAAUUUUAUCAAUGUACAAUGUAUACUGUAUUCAAAUAUCAUGUGUACCUCAUAAAAAUGUGCAAUAUUUAUAUAUUGAUUAGAAAUGAAAAUUUAAAAAAAUUUGUUCAAAUAUGUUGUCAUUUA